UAAAAAAUAAAAUAAAAUAAAAUAAAAUUGGAACGAUACAGAGAUUAGCAUAGCCUCUGCGCAAGGAUGACGUGCAAAUUCGUGAAGCAUCCGCCAUUUUG
ensembl:snRNA U6 U6 spliceosomal RNA